CAGUCGCCGCGGUAAUACGGAGGGUGCAAGCGUUAAUCGGAAUUACUGGGCGUAAAGCGCACGCAGGCGGUCUGUCAAGUCAGAUGUGAAAUCCCCGGGCUUAACCUGGGAACUGCAUUUGAAACUGGCAGGCUAGAGUCUUGUAGAGGGGGUAGAAUUCCAGGUGUAGCGGUGAAAUGCGUAGAGAUCUGGAGGAAUACCGGUGGCGAAGGCGGCCCCCUGGACAAAGACUGACGCUCAGGUGCGAAAGCGUGGGGAGCAAACAGGAUUAGAUACCCCUGUAGUCCCUGUCUCUUAUACC
rnacentral:rRNA from 1 species